GUUCCCUUAAUGUGUAAAUCUAAUGCUUAGUUUUGGAAUAUGAUCGUUUUAGUCAUAACAAAUAGUUUUUGCACUUAAGAUGUUCGAUAAAUUGCUUCUAUUAGAAUCAACAAGUCAAACAACGGGUGGUGAAGUGCACAGUCACCAAUCCCAAAAACAACUUACGGAAUUUUAAAGGAGAAAGCAUUUUCACCCUUCUGAUGGAAGAUAUUUUACUUGGAAAAUAUUUAACUUCACUUUUAUGCAACCAAACAACGGUAGAUACGUAGAAAUUACCCGAAAACAUUUUACUCCAAAACAAAUGGAGCCUAAUUCUCUACAAAUAGAAUUCGGCAAAUUAUUUGGCGUUCUUUUUUUCCUAUUAAUGAUAUGUUUUCUAACAUUAUUGUUAUAUAUGUCCAUCACAUUUAUAAACUGUACGUGCCUGUUCAUCACAAUGGUGUUUGGAAUUUGACCAUGAUUCAAUUGUGCAAACCAAUUUUUUAUGUUCUUAUUUGUUUCUCCCUAUUUGAAGAAAAAGAGAAUAGAAGCAAAAGAGUGAUGAUAAGAUCUUCUAAUGAGAAUACAUUUUAUGUUAUUCCCUGUUUGAGUGUAAUGGCAACAUUGCUAGGCACUCUUGGCUCCGCAAGGGGGGGGACUUGAGUCUCUGCACAACUCCAAAUAUUUUUGCAUGUUAUACUAAUUUUUAGGUUAAUUAUGGAAAAUUCUAUGUGAUUUUCCCCUGCAAGUUCCUUGAGGAAAACAAUUCUUAAAAUUUCCAUGUGAGAUGAAAAUCCCUAAAAUUUCAAGCUAUUAAUCACUUUUUAGGUUUCGUGUAUAAAGCUAGACUGUGGCUACGCGCAUACCCACAAUAAUCACUUCCUCAGACCUGGCAUGUAGCAUUAUAUACUUACAAAAUGUAUUUUUUGUUAUCAAAAUGAAUAUACAUCGGAUUUGGGCCCCUACUAGACACAAAUCCUACGUCCGCCACUGGCUCUCAGUACUUGGUUGUUGAAGAAGGCAUCGAGUUAGUGCGCAUUGAAAGUUUUGGGAUGUGGUUUGUCUAAUGUGCGGCUUAUGUGCCAUUGUGAAUGAUCAUCUGAUCAUGUCCAUUGGCUGGCCUUGGUUCAUAAUUGAAUAUUGCCUCAAAGAAGCGAACGUGUGGUGGUGACAACUCUUCAAAUAAACUACUAUUGGGUAAUGGAAUUGUAUUUGUGGUGAAAAAUGUGAAGGUGCUACAGAGUCAAACAAAAGUGCUCACUAAGGAAGAUUUUCAUAUGAUGCUUGAAACUGAUGACGGGAGGGUUGGUGUGGGUGGUUGCAAGGCUAACAUUAGUUUUUUUGUUCUAAUGACUUGAUAAAUGUUAGUGAUAGGAGAAUAAAGCUAUGAGUGGAUGGAGCAUGGCAGAAGGGGGAUCUCAUGGGAGCUGAGCAAGAGGUUGAGCGGCGAAGCGGGAAGCUGGCGGUGCUUUCUGCAAACAUGGCAGAAGCUAAAGCUUGUUUGGAAGCUGUGACAUGGUGCCUUGAUCAAGCGAUCAGGAUCCUCAUAAAUGCCACUGUUCUCACGGAUAGCUUGCUAUUGGUGAGGUUUUUGCGCAAGGAUUUGGUUCCAGACAUUUCAGACAUUUGGUUGUUAUCUACUAAGUUUUCUUCCUUAUCGGCUCUUACAAGUUAAUCGUUCUGUAAUCCAAACUGCUCAUAUAACUGGUAAAAGCCACCCUUAAAGGGGUUGGUUAGCAUGUAUCUGCUUUUAUUAGUAAUGAUAUGUGUUUCAAGGUUCUAAAAAAGAAGAAGAUAUACUUGAUGAAUAGCAUUCCUGAGGUAAAGGAACAAUGAGCCAAAUUUUCAACUGCUGUUUGGUGA